UAACAGCAAAAGAAAUAAGCUGGUCAGCUCCAAGACGUGCUUCCGAGAUUUGCCAAAUACAGAACACGAAGAGAAAGCCUAAACCGACUUACUCACAUCCACGUGAAGUACAAAUAACCAGAAGGUGUUUACAACAAUAAGGCUUGCAGGCAGAAACAGAACUUACUAAGCCUGUUAUGUCUGAAAACUGUGAUGGCACCUACGUUGACUGCUACAUCACUGCUGAAAAAGCAGUACAUGCUGGGUGGCACCAUCGUAAUAAAAAAAUUCGGCAGAUCCCACGUACCAUCUGACCAAUAAACCAAA
rnacentral:lncRNA from 1 species